UGUCUUUUUCUCCCUCUAGAUGAUGAGAAUUUCACGGGGAAAUAUUUCCACUUGAUUGAUCCUGAUGUGGUCGAGGACCAACAGCAGGACCUGGAGAGGAAGAAGUUAAAAGUGAAGGAGGUUCACCUCACCAAGCUGCUCUCCACGAAGGUAAGUGACCGUCGCUUAGACUGGGGCAAAUAAUCACCUGAUCCCGGCCGAGUGAAAAAGUCGCCCAGUUAUAGAUGAUGACAGACAGAAUAUUAGUGAAAAAUCAAU